rnacentral:lncRNA from 1 species
AGGGGGAUGCCAAACAGGCAGAGGGGCUGAAGGAAGGAGCAGAAGAGAACGAUCACGCUAUGGAAAAGCAUGAAGAGGACCUGGGGCAAGGCUGAAGAUGUGAUUGGGCCAGCUGGUGACCUGUUGCUGGCCUCAUGCUUCCACAUGAAGAUGCCAGGCUGCAAAACGGAGAAGAAGGAAGCCCAUGCAGAGAUGGCUUCUGAGUGAGAGCUUAGGAGCAGCUGCCCGGGUGCCCGUAGGCGGUCAGAUUUCUAGAUGCACUUCCUGUUCUUGGGUUCCGCAAGACACCCUCUGGCUCUUUUGCAUACAUUUUAAGCAACUACUUCUGAAGUUGGGAAAUCAGGAGUAGCCGCUGACUCUAAAGAGAAACUAUAUCAAUUUGGAAUGUAUUUGCAUUAUCAGUGAGUUUACUGGAAGUAUUAAAGCUGGACCAUCACUUGGAGAUGUUGUAAGGAAAUGUGAACAUUUGGCGAACAGACCUUUAAAUAAAGAAGGAAGCCAUGGGAGUGGCUGAGAUCUCCCUGAGAGAAAGUGGAGAGAUGUUCAGAGGUAACUUCGUUUAGAAACUUUUAUUUAAAAAUCACAUUUAGAAACUAGAAGGUGUGGGGGGACCCAGUAAAGGAGACAGAAAGGGAUUUACCAGAGAGUUGCGGGAGCUACGAUUGUGGUGUCAAAGAACCAAAGGGAGGAGCAAAUGCAAGAUCUCAACCAAUAAGGAAGUGUAAGCGACGAAGGGCAGGCCUUGGGGUGGGUCGACUCAGCAGCUCCACCAUUUUACUGAGAGCCCAGGUGCUUUCUACCUCUCUGCUCUGCUGUGCUUGGCGUUGGCUUCACCUGAGGGUUGAAGGUUCUUUCCUUGGAUGAGAGAUAACUGAACCACCCCUGUGGACCCAGGAACAGGGUCUGUGUCCCUUGAAGCACGUGACAGCAGAGGACGGGAGGCUCCACCUGAACAUGACCAGGGGUCUCCUGGGGAGGAAAAAUGGAGAUGGAAGCUGCAGAGGAAACGAACAGCUGCCCCCACACAUGCCGUACAAGGCCUGCAUGGGAUGAUGUACGUAGAGCUGCAUUUAAUGUAUACUAAAAAUCACUGGGCCGUGUUGCUAACUUCUGUUAGCAGAGAAUGCAGAAAGGCUGUGGGAGCCUUUCAUUGCCAGCUCUACGUGACCCUUCCCCUUAUGAUCAACACCAGACCAGGGAUUUAACUACAAGGCCCUGCCUUACCCAGCUCUUUUUGUCCCCACUUUGCAAAGUUCCUAAAAUGUACCAGAUUUCUUUCUUCUUCAUGGUCUUAUAUGCUGAUCCCUCUGCGGAAAACAGUCUCUGUAUUUGUUGCCUUUUCUUACGUAGGUUUCACUUCAUGUCAUUCCUUAAAGAGCACUUCCCUGUCCUCCUAAACUGAAUUAGGUGCCCCCUCCCUGGCUUGUGUCCCUAUUGGGAUCUAGUUCCAGAUUGUAAUUAUGUUUCUAUUAUGUUCAUGUGUAGCUCUGUGGUAUGGGGGCCACAUUUGUUCUGCUCACUAGUGAAUCCUCAGAGCCUGGCACAUGGCAAUGCUCAAGACAUUUGAUGAAUGAAUUAGCUAUUUCAUGCACUUCUUCGUCUAACUCUCAUGCCUAUUGUCUUUUUUAAGCAUGUGAGACAUCUUUGGAGGUUAUUGAAUGUAAAGAUUUCUACAAAACAGUACCCAUUCCAAAAGAUUAAUGAUGUUUAAUAAACCUAAAUAAUAAGGAAUGCUUGGAAAGCUCAUAAAGUAACAGCAAUGGAACAGGGAGAUUUUUUAAAUCAUAUUUAAGUAAUUUAUUGCUUUGCAUCAGUUACCCUUACACAGAUAAAGCCAAGACUAGAGCAAAUUGGUGAACUAGUUAGUUCAACACUGUCUUUGCCCCAGCCCCUAUCUCACUAGCUAAUUACAUUAGCAGACAUAUAUCAAAUGUUUCCUCUGUGCUGCCCAUUGUGCUGGACUGUGAGAUUUGGCCCUGAUUUCAGUCCGGAUUCUAGUAGGGCUUCCAGCACCUCCUUCUCCCUUUGGGGCUUCCCUCAAUUCCAUUCAACAAAUAUUUAUUGAACUCAUAGUUGGGUGAAAGAAAUGAUGAAUGAGUAAAUCCGUAGCAAUACUUCAUGUUACUACUCACGAUGAUGGCUGUGAGGUGUUAACAAUAUUUUGAAUCAUGCAAGUUUUCAUUAGGGCCAUUCUAUCUAUUAAGGCAAGAACUGAACAAAUACAUCUAAGAAUGGGUUUCUACUAGAAAGAUUGCAACAAAUAAGUUUUUCUGAUUAGCCCUCAGAUAAUUCAAUUAACUUCUAUUACCAGAACGUUCAAGUCUGCUUUGCUAGCCUAUGAGUUUCCAUACAGGAGGGGCUGAAGGGCUGGCAAUCUGUUAGGAAGGCAAGCUGGAGUUUUGUCUUGAAGUCAUGUUUACACAGCAAGUAUGCUGUUUCUGCUUGGAUUCCAUGGCUAUUUGGCAUAGCUAAAGGUGGCUAUUGGAAAUCAUGGGGAAAUUAAAUCUUUGCCCCCUCUCAAUCAUUUAUUGGCGCUACCACUGAUCCUAGCUAACUGAAGCAUAAUUACAUUUUGUUUGUUUGUCAGACUUUCAGACUGCUCAGGCUUCAAAAUCCACAAGAUUUCAAAAAGAAAAUUUCAAAGGGAGAAAGAAGCCAUAGUCUGCUCUGAUAACUUGUUUAUCAAUUUAUUUUUCAAUUUCCCUGUCCUCUUCUCUCAGAGGGAAACAUGAGUGAGAACCUGACUCGCAACCCCUAUGAGAUAGAGAAUAUUUGCCUUUUUUUUUGGUUGAUUGCUGGGCUUGAAAAGAAAAAAAAAGACAGAAAAUAAAAAAGGUUAGA